rnacentral:lncRNA from 1 species
UUCCGCCUCUGCUAUCACUUAUGAGAAUUAGACGACAGCCGACAGCACACUCUUUCUUCCUCCCGCGGCUUGCCUUUGCUUCUCCUUUUCUCUCUCCAGGUUGAGGUUAGUGAGGUUAGUAGGUAACCUCUUCGCCCCUUCUGUGUGUUUUUUUUUAUAUAUGUUAAUCUUUGUAUGUGUCUACUAUAUACAAAUAAGGAAUUUUGUUCUUAAUUUUGUCAUUAAAUUAGAGAUCGAUUUAGAGUUUGUUAUGUCGUGAAUUAGAGAUUAUGUGUUAUUUUCAUUGAAUAUUUGAAUUGAUAUUGUAUAUUUAUGAUAUAUUGUUUUUGUUUGUGAAAUAAUUGAAUUAGGUUAGUUGAUGAAAUUAUCAAAUUAUGAUGAAAUGUUUGAAUUGAUAAAUGAUGAAAUUAUUAUAAAAUGUUUAAAUCGAUGAAAUUAAUUAUUGUGAAAUAUUAUAAUUGGACAAAAAAUUGAAUAUAAAUUUGAGAAAUGGUAUAUUUAUGGUAUACAGUAUAUUGAUGAUAUAUUGAUGAUAUAAUGAUGGUAUAUUUAUUGGUUAGCAAUUAAUGUUUUUUAUUUAUUCUUAAUUAAGCAUCAAUAAAUAAUUUUUUUUACUGCUGUAUUUUAACUCCGUCUAAAAAUGUUAUAGUCCUGCCACUGUUCCUAAUAUUACCAUUUUUAAAGUUUUGAUAUUGGCCGGUACUGAUAGCCUCUCCUCAUUGUUCAAUCGUCUUGGUCUCUUUAACAGCACUCAAUGAUAGCGAGCGAGUGUUGCAUCAAGUCAUCAACUGUCUUGCUUCAUUUAUUUUUAUUUUUAUAAAAUAAAUAAUUAUUGAUUGUCCCUCCGCCUCCGGUGAGGGAGGAGGAGGAGGAGGAGGAGUACAGUGAGAUGAUAUUUUCUUUUUCUGUCGUUAUUAAACAUCCCAUUCAAGUUGUUGCGGUC